rnacentral:lncRNA from 1 species
CGCUUGGGGAUCUUGGUGACCCUGUAACCUUUCUGCUGGACAGGUAAACCGCUUUAACAAAGUAAGACAAGUGUCUGUAACAGAAGUGUUUCUUGUCAAACGGACCUGCUGUAGCGUGUUGUAGCGCCAUCGCUAAACUGUCCUCCCUCGGGUCCUGGACUAUGUCACUUUAUCCUCAUUGGAGAAGUCCUGCAAACAUUGCGUUUAGGGUUGGGUAUUGCUUGAUCUUGAACUAUUCCGGUUCCGAUUCCUCGUUUCGAUUCCGGUUCCUAACGAUUCUCCAUUGUGGUAUUUGUUGGUUAUUUCUUCCGGUCGGCGGACUCCGGCAUCGGAACUUGGAACUUGAAAUUUUAAAAUUUGAAUGAUUCCGGGAGAAUCGGAAUGUCAGUCACGGUCCCCAUCGAUGCUCGAGACUCGAUGCCCAACCCUAAUUGUGUUUGCUGGUAGUCUGUUGGCAUCUACAGUAGCACCAAUGCUUUUGACUUUCACCUUGACUGGGCCCCAUUUGUAAUGAUCUGAAGUAUUUAUCUGCAUUAUAUCUGAAUUUAAUUGGAACGAUACGAGCGAGCAGGAGCGUCUGUUUGUGGGCGGGGCUUGAGGGGAAAACUGGUUGGGAGGGGUAGAGUUUACAUUCAAGAUUUCUCCUUAAAACUGGCACUUCCUCAGAUCCUGACUACCCUACCUUUAACGCUCAGUUUUCUCAACAGUGACAGAGGUUUGACUGGACUUUGCUUUUAUCUCAUUUAAAGGAAAAAACUACGAGUGAUUUUAGAGAGGGGAAAAAAUGAGAGUAUUAGGGAAUUGUAUCUGGUUGUAAAUACAGAAAAGUCGGAUAAAUGACACCUGUCAGCACGUGCAGGUUUCUUCUGCUCUGAGGAAACAGCUCCAGACAGAAACAUGUGAGUCACAGCGGGCUUUAAAUAUAUUCAUUUCCUCUCUCUCUGGUGAUUCCUGUCGGUUUACAGGCAUGCUGGUUGUUGCUCAGCAGUCUGACAGAUUAGCUCCUACACUUUCUGCAGCUCUGACAAAUUUCCUAGCGCCUCAGUUUGAGGAUUAGAGCAGCAGGCUGGCAGAAAACACCACCGGGCUCGAUAUGUGAGGUUCAGACUGAGCUCUGAGGGAAAUGACUGAAAAAGGUGCCUGAGUGAGGGAAACCCGAGGAACAGCCCUCACAAUGGUUUCAGGACUCAGGUGAUCCGCCACUUUGUGCAGAGUCGUCGUACAGUUCGGUCUUUUUUUAUGCUAUGUUCCGGUUGUACUCAGAAGAUGGAAUUUCCGAGCGCAGAGUCCGGAAUUUAUCUGGAACGCGUCCCUGAAGUCGGAUUUCUGUCGCCAACCCUGACUUGACGACACCGUCAUAAUUCAAGAUGGUAGCGCAGUGCAUCAACAGUAAAGAGGAACAGUGAAAGCUCUCGCAAUGUUUUAAUGCUCAACGUCUAACUGUGAACACGGUGCUAUGGUGUUCGUACGAGUAAAAUACUGUGUUAUGCGUUGUUUUCAACUGGUAUAGCUAACGACAAGUAAAAACAGUUGACAACGGCUAACAACAGCUGAAAAUUAUAAACAACAGCGAACAACGGGUAACUGUAGGCGUCCAUCUUGGUUUUCCGACUUGUUAACUGGAAAGCCGUCAACUCGGAUGUAAUGUCAUUUCCAGCUCCAGCAUCCGACUUCCGAAGUGACUGGACGUCGCAGCAUUAGGCUUCUAUUUUUGCGGGAUGCCGCAGCACGUUGUAUGAAGUUGUAUGUGGCUACAAAAUAAAAUAUCCGGUUGAUUUUCAAAGUAAAAUAAAGUCAAUAUUUUGAACUGUCCUUCACGUGAUAAUGGGAGGGGCGAGGGUUGUGGGAUGUGGGUGUUUAUGUACACCAAUCGGCGGAUCUCAAUGUCCCACAGGGAAACAUGCGAGAUCUCAUGAGAUCUCGCCAAGUCUCGCAAGAAAUAUCGGUAAUCUUGCGAGCGCGUCUCCUCUGAUGGUGGCGGCUGAUUGGAUCCUGUGGGCGCUGUAUGCUUGCGCAUUUGAUUGGCCUGCCGAUCCGGAGCGUAGCCGUUCCAGUGGAAUCCCCGGGUCAGUCAAGGAUUACUGCCAAGAAAACUAUUCAAGUCUGUUUCCUUAAAGUCGGGUAUAAAUCUAAACAUCCUGUCAAAGAAACCCCAAAUCAUGAUUCGGUAUAAAAAUAUAAACAGUUUGAUAACUGAAUUUCCAAAGAACCAUCAGGAGUUGCCGUGUAACGAUCCUCUAAUCUCCGCACCAUUUCAAAGUUUGUGUCAGAAAUCACCGGCAGGUAACCAUGAAACCGCUGAAACUAUUUCAGAGAGUAUCCUCAGAACUAUCCAGUGCUGCAGGUGUUGGAUAAAACGGACUGAGCACAAACACUCAGCCUCCAUGGAAACCCGAAUAAAACUCCCCGAAGAGGACAAGGCCUCGGUCUUAUUUACCGGACAAACACCAGUAAACACAUGUGAAUGUAUCAGUGCAAGAGUGAGUCCUGAUGGGGGUAAGCUCAGACCCCCCACACUGAAGUGCUUUUUGAACAACAUUAGCAUGAAAAAAAACAAAAACACAGAGUUCUGGCUGAGGUUUCGGCUUCACUCAGUUUCCAAAAAUGUGUUAAAAGUAGAGAAAUCCUCUUUUAAUCUCUUUCACGGCUCCACUGAGCGACAGACGCCUCUUUUCUUUAACAGAGGAAGCAACAGGGAGAUUAAGUUAACUGCUGUGUUUUACAGUCUAGGAGGGUCAACCAAAGAAAAGAGGGCUGGCUGAGCACCGCUGCUCUAUGGAGUUACCAUGGCCAUGAAAGUGAAAGAGACAGAGAGACAGUAACAAACAGCUUCCACUAUCUAAAAAAUGUCACCAAGCUGUAGCUCCAGGCGAAUCAGGGGGUCGGCCAACCCGCUGAGGGAUCACCGAGGCCUGGGUACACUCUGCCAGGAUGCCUGGGGGAAGAACCAGGAGGAGGAGUCUCGCCAGUGGAAGAGAGUGGAUGAACUGGUCAGUAUAAAAUGUAAUAAUGUUGGGUAGGGCUGGGCGAUAAAACCAUAACGAAAAGAUCAAAGUUAAUUUACCUCAAUGUCAAUAUAAAACAUUGUCACUAUCCUUUCCGAUAAUCGUCAUUCUGCCAUGUUUUGGUCGACUAUACGAACAGCCAAUGAAAAGGGGAGUGUCUCCGGGUCUGAACCAAUCAUGUUCUGAAUUAGAACCAAGUAUCAACCAACUGCAGCGUCGUAGCAGACAGCAGCUCCACCCAACCAUAGCACUUUAACAGGUGAAGCCGACAGCACUGUUGGUGAGAAACAAAGAAAAUGAGUGCUACCCCCGACAGAAAUGACCAUGAAGGCUCAACAGAUGACCACAUCAAUGUCAACCACAACACUGGCGUUAGGAAAACGUCGGUGGUGUGGAGGUAUUUUGGUUUUUGGAGGUCGGACAUGAAGCAGAGUAAUGUGGACUGUAAAUUAUGUCGAGUACAUGUUCUCACAAAGUCGGGGAAUACCUCAAAUCUUUUUCACCACCUGAAGCAGCGCCACGCCGCAGAGCACGCGACACGCCAAAGGUUACAAACCCCGAGAGGAGCGAGGAGACGAAACAGACAAAAGACAUGUGACCAAUAAACACUGUUAAAUUUCAUUCUUUGAAUCCUGAUAUCGAUAUCGACUAAUACGAAAAAACAUAUCGUGAUAAACCAUUCUCCCAGAGUAGAAUACAAGAAAAACAGGCGGGACAUGAUCUCAGCAGUUUUAACGGGUGGAAACGCUGAAAACUGAAAGCAGGUAUCCGAAGUUAAGUUGGGGGUGGAAGGCUCACAUAUCGUCCUGCUGUGGUUCAUGUAAAUCAUGGUGACAAGCUAAUCUUUAAGGUUCGCGUGGCCUUGAUUGCGCUAGACCACACAUGACAACACAGACACCCAACUACAACUCCAGGAAGGACAAAAAUCAUAAUCGCUGUUAUUUUGAUUAAUCGUGAAAUCAGGAUUAUUACGUCCUUGUAAAUGCUCCAGUUUCUCUCUCUCUCUAUGAGGCUCAUCCAGUCCUUUUGGUUUUCAGACACACCUGCCUCCUCCUCCUCCGCCUCCUCCUCCUGCUCCUCUACCUGCUCCCUUCUCCGGUUGUACAAACAAACCAAACAAUAAAAUUAAUAGCUUGAAGACUCAUCUUAAGACAUUAAAAAGUGAUUAACUCUUUAUUUAAAGAGGAAACCUCCCCUUUACUUUAGACUUUGCACUCGUCUUUAAAUCAAUUUUAAAAAAAAGGCAAAUACUGAGUUUUCGUCUGAACACAAAGCAGCUUGUUGGAUUCCACUUCUGCUGAAUUAACCACAAGUCCAAGACCGAAGAGAGGUCAAAGUUCAUCCUGCACAAAGUUUAAGUCCAUGUGCCGGUUAGCGGCACAAGAUUAAAUUAGUAGAUUUUUAAAUGGAGCCUGGUGAGACCGUGGCAGCUUGCGAACAGGACGAGAAAGAACAAAAACUUUAAGAGAGGACAUUUUGUCCGAGAUUUAAUCCUCCAGCAGCUGAUCUGCCCUUCUGAAGUGCUCCUGAGCAACAUAACCCCUGAUAAAAUGAGAUUAGUAUGAAUAUGGGAGUUAAAGCUCAAACUAUUUAAAGGUAUUAAUGUCUAAUUACUAACCUAAUUACUACUCAAUGAUCAGACUCUGUUGUUGUUUUCUCUCACCUGUAUCCAGGUGAGGAUAAGCUGUAUGUUGACAUAUGUAAUGUGUUUUUCGCUCCCUGAGGGCUGAGAAAUACUCUUGUACAAAAACAGCAGAAAAUGUAGGACUGCAUGAACUUGAGCUGAGAGGCCGAAGACCCUCAUAAAGAAAAUCUCUUCACUGAUACAGUUUCGGUCGAACGAAGAUGAAGAAAAAGCAAAACUCACAUCAGAUCAUUCAACAAUUCACACUCUUCAUAUUCACAACAAACUUAGGAUUACUAUAAGUACAUUAAAGGACUAUUUUGGGGGAUUUCACAAGCCAAAAACUUGAGAAAUCCUCGAGUCUCAGCUUUUCAAAUCAGACUUUACUUUUCUUUGGGCUUUGAAAUGAAAAUUUGACCAAAUGAUCAAACAAUAGACGGAGUAAAGGAUCAUUUUUAGGGAGGAUACUUCAAAGUAUUCGGAAAAAAACAAACGGAAAUGGCACCACAAAGUUAAUACUGCACAGAAGUUGACUAUAAAGAGAACAAUGUGGCCCAUAAACAAACAUAAACUAAAUAUCAUGGCAGUCUUAUCUAACAUUAACCAACAACCGUGUCUAAAUUAGAAAAGAUAUAACCUUUCAAUACCAAAGACAAACCAAAAUAAUCACUUUGUGAUGGUUAAAUCAACGUUUAGACAAUAAUACAAGCCAUUAGAGUAUGUUACACAUGAUUUAAGUAGCAUUAUUGAGUUAAUAGACAGUUUACACUCAUUAAAGUGCCAAAACUCAGACAUAAAUGAACUUUGAGUUAGUAUUUCGAUUAAAUUAAUCAUCACAAAGCUAAAAACGAUGAAGUUACCGUUGAAAACAAUAGUCAGACACAAAGAGGAGGAAGUUUCCUGGGCAAGAAACGAAGGGAUCUACCUACAAAAAUUCAAUACGGUUAUUUUAGAAAUGCCACAGAGAAUUUUAAUCUUAAAGUCAGUCAAACUGUGGAAAACACACUGCCGAAUUGAAGAAUAUGGAAAAAAAAUGUGCAGUUGAGCGCAAAAUUCGUACAUUGCGGUUGAAUUGUAGGCUUGCGUGAAGAAAAUGUAAAAAUAUGAAUGUAGUCUGGUGAGCGUAAAACAUCAUCGCGUUUAAAAACCUGAAAUCCAGCCGGGCAAAUCGUGCGCAGUACUAUAGCGGAGCGACAGUGACACUACACUCAAUAGGGUUAGAAAAAAGACGAUAAAGUGAGAUGGAAAUUCGAGUUAAACUUACCGGUUUUAACGGCUGAAAACGGCGCGGACCCUCUCCCGCAGAAUCUCCGUCAGAAAACGAGUAAUUUUACGGUGAAACGAGAUUCGACAAAAAAUUCUCGCUCUGGAACAUCCACAGGCAGCGCGCGCUGAGAAGCCCGAUCGAUUGU